AUCUUACUCCUCCGUUCCGAAUUACUUGUCGCAGGUAUGGAUGUAUCUAGAUGUAUUUUAGUUCUAGAUACAUCCAUUUCUGCGACGAGUAAUUUGAAAUGGAUGAAGUAUUUG
rnacentral:pre_miRNA from 1 species